GAGAGCACUGUAUUAUUGCUUAGAAUCAGAGGAGGGGUUAUGGAUUGAUACAAAUAGUCACCCCCGCCAAGCCAACCCCAGCGCAGGCUGAAUUAAUUGUGUUGCUAUUUUUGGGAGCCCCGUGUUUCCAGGGGAAGACCUAAUGACGCAAUGACGUCAAUGCGGGUCAAUCGCAGACUGGAGGAAUUGAGUGGCUUCCAUUUGGGGCUUUUUGUAAUAUUUCCUACAGAAAGGAUGGAAACGAGUACAAAAUGGAAGUGUAUUUCCUCCAAAUUCAACGAAAAUAGAGGUGAAUCCAAAUGCAGAAGUGAAAGGAUCACAGUGGCAUCACGUCGUCCCAACCCUUCGAGCAGCAGCGAUAGUAAGGGAGGGCUUUACACAAUCCCGACCUAUUCCAAGCGCUCGCAUCUAGACGCGCAGAGAUACUGGAUCAGCUGUGUAUGAUCGUCCGCCAUCAAUAAGCAGUUUUGUUCUUUUCAGGUCUUUUUGCGGUCUGGGCUUGCUGUCAAAUGACUAUCCAGGAAGCCCUUACCCCAAAAAGCAUCUACAAGGGACCCUUACAUCAAGGACAAUUUGGAACAAUUGUUUGAGUUCCAUCAUAAGCUCAAUGUAUGUAUGGUGAAGCCUUACUUUCUCAAUGUACAUCAAUUGAGUGAGAGUGUACAACACUGAGAAAAAGUGCAUUUUACUUUCCUAUUCAACUAAGGAGUGUGUAGUUUAUGUCCUCAACUAAAACAGUAAUGCCUGCAGUGUCACAGUUUAAACUUUAAUCAUAAAUGUAAAUCAUUCAACGAUUAACUUGCUUUCACUGAACACCAGCAGGACCCAAUGCUCCAACUCAAGGGGUUUGAAGCACUGCUUCAGCUUUCCAGAAGAGGGCAGCAUUGCUACAAAGUUUGACUGUGAGGAAAUCUGAUUUAACGCCACGCAAAACAAACAAAUCAGAUCAAGUUCUUAAAGUGAUUACCAUGAUCUUGAUACAGGUGUCCUUGUGUGUAGUGUAUAGUAUGGCAUAGGUGAAUAAAAUACUGUAUUUUAGUUUUGAUAACAAACUUUAAUGUAACCCAGUUUUAACAUGUGUAUUCAUUUGUUUGGCUGUAUCUAAUACAUAUUUAUUUUUAGUUGGAAGCAUGGAUUAGUCCAUAACGUUUUUGAACAUGUUUUGUCUCUGUCUGACCUUUAGCAGCUCAAUCAUCAAUGCAUUGGUGAAUCAAGUAAGUGAUGGGAACAUGCCCCAACCCAAUAAACGAUGUGUGUCAUUUUCUUUAUAACUCAUUUAUGCAAUUAUCAAUAUUUCCCUUGCCAUGACGUUGUUUGGUGAACAGAAAAAAAGUACAAUCAAGUGUAAGCGCAUUGAUUUACUUUUUAUGAAGAACUGUGAUGCAUAUUCUGUCAAUGAGACACACCAAAAAAUGUAUAAAAAACAACUUCAUCCUUUGUUCCGUUGUCUCACGGUAUGAAAAAUGUUUUCCAUAAAACUCUAGUUCUUGUGUUUCAUGGCUGGCCAGGUCUUGUGCCUUGCGCCAGAGAAACCUCAAGCAAAUAAUAGACUUUCUAAAAAAAUACAACAGGGGCCAGUGCCCCUGUAACACUGAUCAGGAACCCCCCUGUGGCCCCCCUCCAAAAAAAGGUUACAAUAUUACGAUUUAUUGGAACUAAAUAAAAUCAGAGACCCGGAUGUAGUGGAGAUUAAACUGUUCAUUACCUUAUAUAAAAGCAAAUACUGUUUAUGUUUUUUUAUUAAAUUGUCACUUAAAGUUACUAAAACAUAUACUCUAAAUGAAAAAAAUGACUGAAACAAAGGAUUGUAACUUAAAUGUACCAAGACAAAUACCUUUACAAAAACAAAUACUAAUUACUGUAUUUUAUGUUUAUUUUACACAAUUACUUUAUACUGUCUUUGUCUUUUUAACCCGCUUGUAUUGUGCCCCUCUCAUGAAAUAACUUCCCCAGCCUGGCCCCCCCAGUAAAAUUGGUCUAGAACCGCCACUGCUGUCUAGCCACCAAUCUUCAAUCCCCUGUAAUGUAGAAUUUCAUUGGCUGUUCCCCUUCCCAUCUGUUGCUCUCUGCUCUGUAUAAAUGACAUUGCUUUUCUGUGUAACCGGGUCAGAUGUCCUUUCCACAUCAGUGGAACGGGUUAUCUGUCCUUUCCAGCUGGAAAUAAGAUUGAUUCUAUUAAAUGCUAUAACUUUUUAUUAAAAUGACACAACUUUGGUUUAA